rnacentral:snRNA from 1 species
AUACUUAACUGGCAGGGGAGAUGCCAUGAUCACAAAGGUGGUUUUCCCAGGGCGAGCCUCAUCCAUUGCGUUCUGGGUGAGCUGACUCCUGUGAUUUCCCCAAAUGCAGGAAAUUUGUGGUAUAAUAACUGCAUAAUGGC